rnacentral:rRNA from 1 species
GAUGAACGCUGGCGGCGUGCCUAAUACAUGCAAGUCGAGCGAACGGACGAGAAGCUUGCUUCUCUGCUGUUAGCGGCGGACGGGUGAGUAACACGUGGCUAACCUACCUAUAAGACUGGGAUAACUUAGGGAAACCGGAGCUAAUACCGGAUGAUAUUUUGAACCGCAUGGUUCAAAAGUGAAAGCCGGUCUUGCUGUUACUAAUAGAUGGAUCCGCGCUGCAUUCGCUAGUUGGUAAGGUAACGGCCUACCAAGGCAACGAUGCGUAGCCGACCUGAGAGGGUGAUCGGCCACACUGGAACUGAGACACGGUCCAGACUCCUACGGGAGGCAGCAGUAGGGAAUCUUCCGCAAUGGGCGAAAGCCUGACGGAGCAACGCCGCGUGAGUGAUGAAGGUCUUCGGAUCGUAAAACUCUGUUAUUAGGGAAGAACAUAUGUGUAAGUAACUGUGCACAUCUUGACGGUACCUAAUCAGAAAGCCACGGCUAACUACGUG